rnacentral:rRNA from 1 species
CGACGGAAGUCGUUAUAGAAGGAUUGAAGAUUUAUCUGAUNCCCAUUUUAUAACAAUGGCUUUAGUGGCGGACUGGUGAGUANCNCGUGAGCAACCUGCCUACUAGAGGGGAAUAACAGUGAGAAAUCAUUGCUAAUACCGCAUAUGCCAUGAACAUCACAUGAUGAAAAUGGGAAAAGAGUAAUCUGCUAGUAGAUGGGCUCGCGUCUGAUUAGAUAGUUGGCGGGGUAACGGCCUACCAAGUCGACGAUCAGUAGCCGGACUGAGAGGUUGAACGGCCACAUUGGGACUGAGAUACGGCCCAGACUCCUACGGGAGGCAGCAGUCGGGAAUAUUGCGCAAUGGAGGAAACUCUGACGCAGUGACGCCGCGUAUAGGAAGAAGGUUUUNNGAUUGUAAACUAUUGUCGUUAGGGAAGAUACAAGACAGUACCUAAGGAGGAAGCUCCGGCUAACUACGUGCCAGCAGCCGCGGUANUACGUAGGGAGCAAGCGUUAUCCGGAUUUAUUGGGUGUAAA